UACAGAGGGUGCAAGCGUUGUUCGGAAUUAUUGGGCGUAAAGCGCGUGUAGGCGGCUUUGCAAGUCGGGUGUGAAAGCCCUCAGCUUAACUGAGGAAGUGCGCCCGAAACUGCAGAGCUUGAGUACCGGAGAGGAUGGUGGAAUUCCCCAAGUAGAGGUGAAAAUUCGUAGAUAUGGGGAGGAACACCGGUGGCGAAGGCGGCAUCCUGGACCGAGAUUGAACGCUGAUGCGCGAAAAAGCGUGGGGGGAGCGAAACAGG
rnacentral:rRNA from 1 species